rnacentral:rRNA from 1 species
UAAAUUGUUCAUUAAUUUUGAACUGGAAUGAGUGAAAAAUGGUUUAAUUCUGUCUGAAAUUUCUAAUUGAAGUUCAACUUUUUGUAAAAAUGCAAAAAUAUUUUUUAAGGACAAGAAGGCCCUAUAAAGCUUGUUUAAUUUUAGUGGUGUAAAUAAUUAAAAUUAAUUUAAUUGGGGCAAUAAUUUAUGUGUGAAAGAUAUAAAUUUAAAUGGGAUAAUAAUUUAUGUUAAAUAUGGUGAUCCAGUAUUAAUGAAAAAUGAUUAAGUUAUUUUAGGGAUAACAGGAUAAUUUUAUUAGAAAGUUCUUAUUAAUAAUAAAGAUUAUUACCUCGAUGUUGAAUUAAUUUAAUUUAAUGGUGAAGUAACUUUUUGAGUUUGACUGUUCCUCCACUUAAUAAUUACAUGAUCCGAGUUC